UACAGAGGUCUCAAGCGUUGUUCGGAUUCAUUGGGCGUAAAGGGUGCGUAGGCGGCGCGGUAAGUCGGGUGUGAAAUCUCGGGGCUUAACUCCGAAACUGCAUUCGAUACUGCCGUGCUUGAGGACUGGAGAGGAGACUGGAAUUUACGGUGUAGCGGUGAAAUUCGUAGAUAUUCGCAAGAACACCAGUGGCGAAGGCGGCUCACUGGCCCGGUACUGACGCUGAGGUGCGAAAGCGUGGGGAGCAAACAGG
rnacentral:rRNA from 1 species